CGCUGGCGGCAGGCCUAACACAUGCAAGUCGAACCUUUACAGGAAGCAGCUUGCUGCUUUGCUGACGAGUGGCGGACGGGUGAGUAAUGUCUGGGAAACUGCCCGAUGGAGGGGGAUAACUACUGGAGACGGUAGCUAAUACCGCAUAACGUCGCAAGACCAAAGAGGGGGACCUUCGGGCCUCUUGCCAUCGGAUGUGCCCAGAUGGGAUUAGCUAGUAGGUGGGGUAACGGCUCACCUAGGCGACGAUCCCUAGCUGGUCUGAGAGGAUGACCAGCCACACUGGAACUGAGACACGGUCCAGACUCCUACGGGAGGCAGCAGUGGGGAAUAUUGCACAAUGGGCGCAAGCCUGAUGCAGCCAUGCCGCGUGUAUGAAGAAGGCCUUCGGGUUGUAAAGUACUUUCAGCGGGGAGGAAGGGAGUAAAGUUAAUACCUUUGCUCAUUGACGUUACCCGCAGAAGAAGCACCGGCUAACUCCGUGCCAGCAGCCGCGGUAAUACGGAGGGUGCAGGCGUUAAUCGGAAUUACUGGGCGUAAAGCGCACGCAGGCGGUUUGUUAAGUCAGAUGUGAAAUCCCCGGGCUCAACCUGGGAACUGCAUCUGAUACUGGCAAGCUUGAGUCUCGUAGAGGGGGGUAGAAUUUCAGGUGUAGCGGUGAAAUGCGUAGAGAUCUGGAGGAAUACCGGUGGCGAAGGCGGCCCCCUGGACGAAGACUGACGCUCAGGUGCGAAAGCGUGGGGAGCAAACAGGAUUAGAUACCCUGGUAGUCCACGCCGUAAACGAUGUCGACUUGGAGGUUGUGCCCUUGAGGCGUGGCUUCCGGAGCUAACGCGUUAAGUCGACCGCCUGGGGAGUACGGCCGCAAGGUUAAAACUCAAAUGAAUUGACGGGGGCCCGCACAAGCGGUGGAGCAUGUGGUUUAAUUCGAUGCAACGCGAAGAACCUUACCUGGUCUUGACAUCCACGGAAGUUUUCAGAGAUGAGAAUGUGCCUUCGGGAACCGUGAGACAGGUGCUGCAUGGCUGUCGUCAGCUCGUGUUGUGAAAUGUUGGGUUAAGUCCCGCAACGAGCGCAACCCUUAUCCUUUGUUGCCAGCGGUCCGGCCGGGAACUCAAAGGAGACUGCCAGUGAUAAACUGGAGGAAGGUGGGGAUGACGUCAAGUCAUCAUGGCCCUUACGACCAGGGCUACACACGUGCUACAAUGGCGCAUACAAAGAGAAGCGACCUCGCGAGAGCAAGCGGACCUCAUAAAGUGCGUCGUAGUCCGGAUUGGAGUCUGCAACUCGACUCCAUGAAGUCGGAAUCGCUAGUAAUCGUGGAUCAGAAUGCCACGGUGAAUACGUUCCCGGGCCUUGUACACACCGCCCGUCACACCAUGGGAGUGGGUUGCAAAAGAAGUAGGUAGCUUAACCUUCGGGAGGGCGCUUACCACUUUG
rnacentral:rRNA from 1 species